UGGGGAAUAUUGGACAAUGGGCGGAAGCCUGAUCCAGCAACGCCGCGUGAGGGAUGACGGCCUUCGGGUUGUAAACCUCUUUCAGUACCGACGAAGCGAAAGUGACGGUAGGUACAGAAGAAGGACCGGCCAACUACGUGCCAGCAGCCGCGGUAAUACGUAGGGUCCGAGCGUUGUCCGGAAUUAUUGGGCGUAAAGGGCUCGUAGGCGGUUUGUCGCGUCGGGAGUGAAAACAGCGGGCUUAACUCGUUGCUUGCUUUCGAUACGGGGCAGACUAGAGGUAUGCAGGGGGAGAAUGGAAUUCCUGGUGUAGCGGUGAAAUGCGCAGAUAUCAGGAGGAACACCGGUGGCGAAGGCGGUUCUCUGGGCAUUACCUGACGCUGAGGAGCGAAAGUGUGGGGAGCGAACAGGAUUAGAUACCCUGGUAGUCCACACCGUAAACGUUGGGCGCUAGGUGUGGGGUCCUUUCCACGGAUUCCGUGCCGUAGCUAACGCAUUAAGCGCCCCGCCUGGGGGAGUACGGCCGCAA
rnacentral:rRNA from 1 species